rnacentral:rRNA from 1 species
AUGAUGCAUGUGAUAAAUCUAUGCAAAUUUACAGGGGAUGAAGCAAACAGGACUAAAAUGCUUACUCUUUGGCACAUCAUUGGAAAGCCGCUUCAAGUCCUGUUCGAUAUUCAAAGGGUUUACAACAUUAUCAAGAGUUUUGGUACGACUCUUGGAGGCCUUUGGUACAUCAUUGGGAAGCCGCUUCAAGCCUUGUUCGAUAUUCAAAGGGUUUACAGCAUUAUCAAGUGUUUUGGUACGACUCUUGGAGGUCUUUGGCACAUCAUUGGAAAGCCGCUUCAAGCCUUGUUCGAUAUUCAAAGUGUUUACAACAUUAUCAAGAGUUUUGGUACGACUCUUGGAGGACUUUUUCGACUUCCCGACCUUCCUUGGUUCCUGGACAUUUUUAAGAUGAACCUUGCGCUCAACAAGCUCACGUAG